UAGGAAGUGAAUAAGGGCGCAUGGUGGAUGCCUUGGCUCUCGGAGACGAAGAAGGACGUGGUAAGCUGCGAUAAGCUAUGGGGAGCUGCAUACAAGCUUUGAUCCGUAGAUUUCCGAAUGGGGCAACCCUCCAAGUUGAAGACUUGGAAUCUGCCGUAAGGCGGAGGAGAACCCGGAGAACUGAAACAUCUAAUUAACCGGAGGAAAAGAAAACAAUUGUGAUUCCGUAAGUAGUGGCGAGCGAAAUCGGAAUAGCCCAAACCGUGGUACUUAGUGCCACGGGGUUGUAGGACCAUACAUGAACAUAACACGGAAGUAGAAUUCAUUGGAAAAUGAAACCAUAGACGGUGACAGUCCAGUACACGUAAAAUGUUAUGGGAUAGUGGUAUCCUGAGUAGGGCGGGGUCGGAGACGCCCUGUCUGAAUCUGCCGGCACCAUCCGGUAAGGCUAAAUACUCCCGAGAGACCGAUAGUGAACAAGUACUGUGAAGGAAAGGUGAAAAGAACCCCAAGAAGGGGAGUUAAAAGAACCUGAAACCAUGCGCUUACAAGCGGUAGGAGUCCCGUUUCGACGGGAUGACUGCGUGCCUUUUGCAUAAUGAGCCUACGAGUUGCUCCUCACUAGCAAGUUUAAUCCGCUAAGCGGAGAAGGCGUAGCGAAAGCGAGUCUUAACAGGGCAAAUAGCUAGUGGGGGCAGACGCGAAACCGUGUGAUCUACCCAUGAGCAGGUUGAAGGGGCGAUAAUCUCGCCCUGGAGGACCGAACUAGUUGACGUUGAAAAGUCUUUGGAUGACUUGUGGGUAGGGGUGAAAGGCUAAUCAAACUCGGAGAUAGCUCGUACUCCCCGAAAUGCAUUUAGGUGCAGCGUUGGAGUGGAGUGUCACGGAGGUAGAGCUACCGAUAGGGCUAGGGGUUUCAUCACCUACCAACCCCUGACGAACUCCGAAUGCCGUGACAUAUAUCCAGCAGUGAGGCGGUGGGUGCUAAGGUCCAUCGCCGAGAGGGGAACAACCCAGACCAUCAGCUAAGGUCCCUAAAUAUACAUUAAGUUGAAUUAAACGAAGUGGAGAUGCUAUGACAGCUAGGAUGUUGGCUUGGAAGCAGCCAUUCAUUUAAAGAGUGCGUAACAGCUCACUAGUCGAGCGUUUCUGCGCGGAAAAUGAUCGGGCAUCAAAUGUAUUACCGAAGCUAUGGAUUGAUAUCGUAAGAUAUCACUGGUAGGGGAGCAUUCCAGCGACAGCGAAGCUAUAUCGUGAGAUGUGGUGGAGUUUCUGGAAAAGAAAAUGUAGGCAUAAGUAACGAUUAUCACGCUGAGAAAGCGUGACGCCGUAAGAAUCAGGUUUCCUCGAUCUAUGCUAAUCAGAUCAGGGUUAGUCGGGUCCUAAGGUAUAGCUGAAAAGCGAAGCCGAUGGAAAGCCGUUUAAUAUUCCGGCACUUGUAUAAAUUGCGAUGGGGUGACGGAGAAGCGUAAAGCCCGCCAACUUACGGAAUAGUUGGUUGAAGUGCGUAGGUGUUGAUCCGGUAGGCAAAUCCGCCGGUGAACUGAAACACGAUAGUACACGGAUCUCCUCGGAGUGAAGUGAUAGUGGCUCCAAGCAUACUUCCAAGAAAAACCUCUAAGCUUCAGAUUUGUACAACCCGUACCGCAAACCGACACAGGUAUUCGAGGAGAAUAUCCUCAGGCGCUCGAGUGAGUCAUGGCUAAGGAACUAGGCAAAUUAGUCUCGUAACUUCGGGAAAAGAGACUCCCACUGAAAAGUGGGACGCAGAGAAAUGGCCCAGGCGACUGUUUAACAAAAACACAGGACUCUGCAAAAUCGAAAGAUGACGUAUAGGGUCUGACACCUGCCCGGUGCUGGAAGGUUAAGGAAGGAGCUCAGCGCAAGCAAAGGUUCUGACUGAAGCCCCAGUAAACGGCGGCCGUAACUAUAACGGUCCUAAGGUAGCGAAAUUCCUUGUCGGGUAAGUUCCGACCUGCACGAAUGGUGUAACGAUCUGGGCACUGUCUCAGCCAUGAGCUCGGUGAAAUUGAAGUAUCGGUGAAGAUGCCGGUUACCCGCCACGGGACGAAAAGACCCCGUGCACCUUUACUACAACUUCACAUUGUGCUUGAAUAUAAGAUGUGUAGGAUAGGUGGGAGACUUUGAAGCUGGCACGCCAGUGUCGGUGGAGUCGUCCUUGAAAUACCACCCUUUUUAUAUUUAGGUUCUAACCCUGUAACAACAGGGGACAGUGUGUGGUGGGUAGUUUGACUGGGGUGGUCGCCUCCUAAAGAGUAACGGAGGCUUGCAAAGGUGCCCUCAGCAUGGUCGGUAAUCAUGCGUAGAGCGUAUUAGUAUAAGGGCGCUUGACUGAGAGAUCGACGGAUCGACCAGGAACGAAAGUUGGCUAAAGUGAUCCGGUGGUUCCGCAUGGAAGGGCCAUCGCUCAAAGGAUAAAAGGUACGCCGGGGAUAACAGGCUGAUCUCCCCCAAGAGCUCAUAUCGACGGGGAGGUUUGGCACCUCGAUGUCGGUUCGUCACAUCCUGGGGCUGGAGAAGGUCCCAAGGGGUUCGGCUGUUCGCCGAUUAAAGUGGCACGUGAACUGGGUUCAGAACGUCGCAAGACAGUUCGGUCUCUAUCUGUGGUGGGCGUUGUAACAUUGAAGGGAGCUGACUCUAGUACGAGAGGACCGAGUCGGACGUACCGCUAGUGUAUCUGUUGUGCCGCCAGGUGCAGCGCAGAGUAGCUAUGUACGGACUAGAUAAGCGCUGAAAGCAUCUAAGCGCGAAGCUAUCCUUAAGAUGAGUGUUACAUGGGGUCGUAGAAGACGACUACGUUGAUAGGCUAUAGGUGAAAUCGUAGUAAUACGUUCAGCCGAGUAGUACUAAUUACCCCUAAACUUCCUUUU
rnacentral:rRNA from 1 species